rfam:Felis catus isolate Cinnamon breed Abyssinian chromosome D1, whole genome shotgun sequence.
GCCUGGGUGGCUCAGCUGGUUGAGCGACUGACUUCGGCUCAGGUCAUGAUCUCACGGUUUGUGGGUUCGAGCCCCGCAUCAGGCU